UUUUUUUUUUUUUUUUUAACUCGAUUAGUGUUAGAGAAACUCAACAGGAACUAUCUUUUGACUUUGGAUCAGUUUUUCCUAAACUCAUUUGGUUAUGUGAGGUUCAUUGAGUCAUUAUAUUCAAUUACUAACUAAUUCUUUUUAUUAUCAUCACAUUUCGGAUUGCAGAAUUUUGUUAAAGAUAUGUUCGGGCAGCAAACUCCAGAUCAACAUUUACAGGCCAGAGGCUUUAAAUUUAAUGGAUAUAGAUGAUGUUUGUGAGAUUAAGAAGAUAAUCGAGGAGCUGCAUUACUAUACUCUUCCACACCAUCGAAUAGUGAGUCAUGCCUCCAACAAUUGGACUGAGUUCUUAAUGUUCAAGAUCAUAUAAAUCAACACACACGAGUUUUGGCCCGUAGUCUAGAGGUUUACAGGACUAUGUUUGUAGCACCUGGUUCCUGGAUUUUGAGAAGGAAGUGGAGUAGAUCAAGAGGAAGGGAAGGAAACCAAGCAUCUUAGUGUUCUCUCAGUGAUUUCUUUGAGGUACCUCCUCAGCUAGGGUAAAGGAGACGGCGCGGUAGCAGCAUAUCACACACAUACACACACUCUCUUGUUUCCGCGGUUAUGAGCUUAUUCUGGGAUUGAUACUCUGAUGUUUUGAUUGUUUACAUGUUGUGGAUUUCAAAUUGGGUUUUCGAUGUGAAAUGGUUUAAUUAAACAAUGUUUUAAUCAUUAAUGCUUUCAAGGUAAUGUUUUACAAACGAAAUUUUUGGACGUGAAAA